CCGUAAUUUCUGUUGCAAUUUAGGUCAGGUUGCCCCCUCAUUACUUCACAUACAAGAAGAAAGAUUCUCGUUCAAAUGGCUUUAGCUGGUUCAUUUAACAUCGUUCACUGGUUCUCUACUGUAUGUAGAACAAGAGGCUGAAUAUUCAGGAUAGAGCCCUGAUCUAAAGGCCUUAACCAUGGGAAAAUACCCAAUGAAAAUGGAGCCUGAAAGCUGAGAAAUUUCCAGAGCCUUUCAUUGGCAUGGAACUCACCAAGCAGGCUAGGCUGACCACUGAGCCCCAGGGAUCAUUCUCUGUCCACUUUUCCAGCCCUGUUGCAAAUGCACAGUGGAGAAACUUCACAGAAGACAAAUAUUGAGACUACGUGGGACAAUUCCUCAAAGUAUAAUGGAAGACACUGGGAAGUCACCGAAAAGAAGGGCGAUUUCUUAGCCACCCAUUUAGAAGAAUGUCAGCUGCCCUAGCAUGAUUUACAGCGUGAGCACGAGGAUCUGAAAAAAGAAAAAAAAAAAAAAAAGGCUACCAGCCCCACUGCUCUACUGCAUUCUGGAAACUUCUGAGUUAUUUUUAUUGAAAGAGCGUGCUCAUCUAAACGUGGAGCUUCUGCCCAGCAUCUGAACAAUUCUCUGCGUGUCACGCUAACCUAAGAAUGGAUAAAUUGGAUCCCAUCAUAUUAACAAACACUGAUCUGUUCUGACACCACUGAGGAGAAAGUUUGAGUGCAGGGACUGGUAUAAACGGCCCUGGGCAUACGAGAAGCUGAUCUUUUCAGAGAAAAGCUGCCUGAGAAAAAGCUCAUCUCCCCUAAAGCUGCCCAUGCAUGCGGAAGAGGGGCAUCAUAAGCUCAAAUCCCAAGGAAAAUGGCCCAGGUUAAGUGGUAAAAAUGUAUUUGAUCGAGUUAUAUGGGCAAGUAGAUGCUGGGGUGUGGGAGGCCUAGAGGGAAGAAAGGGCAGGGCUAAUGGGGAUGUUCAGGAAAGUCACAUUGCUGGGGUUGCAGAUAACCUUGGAAUGUCUUGUGUUAAAGGCUGAAUCUAUUCAAAGAUUGGUAGAUGGAAGCGGCUGCCAUCAGUGAGAAACCCUGCCCUAGUAGGGCUGAGUCUAAAUUGACUCAAGCGGAUGCACAGAGGCAUCCUGUAACUGUCAGGUGCUUUAGACUCUUCCCAGCCAGUUCAACAUUAUAGUCAAUAAUGUAUAUUCAACAUUUGCCUUUUAGCUUCUCUUUACUGAUCAGAUCCUGGCUAAAACAGGUGAAAAUUUCUUAAGAAAACUCCUGACAAAAUAAAAGUUUUCUUCCAUCUACAUAAUAAUUGUGUUCCUAAGAAAUUCAGUGGUUAUAAAAUGGUAUGAAAGUAAAAAUCUUGUGUAUUUGUAUGUAGAAUAAAAAAAACUAUAAUAUUUUCCAAUGCCUAUAGAUACCAUUCAGAGCUGAACAGCUAUACACAUGCCUGGCAAUUGUACCUAGCAUAACUCUGUCUGUGGUGGGGAACAACAGUUCUACCCACUACCGUGUGAUCACAAUUGCUUGUAUUAUCUCUAUGUGCCACAAAUUCUAACCUGUGUGUGACACUGUUGUGUGCAAUAGAAGAUGACCCUUCACUUUGUUGAACUAUCCCACCGAUGCAUUGAGCAUCCCUGGCCUCAACUAAUUUUGACAGUACCAUGCUCAAUCAUUUUGACAACCCAAAACACACCACAGAACAACCUACUUUGUAUCUGAGAACAAUUCAUUCACAUCUUAUGCCUCUGAUCUCUGUAUUAUUUAUUAUCACCAUUUUUAUUGUGCUAAUAAUACUUAAUAUAAGAACUACAUGUUUGAAAAGAUUUUUAAUAUCUUGGUUUCCUUAAGUUUUGAGAGUUUCAAAUAUUAAAUUUUUGUUUUAUUUUGCUUUUAUAUCUUGAAAUAUAGUACAGUUACGUCAUUUUCUCUCUUUCCUAUCUUGACUCCAAGCCCUGCCAUCACCCAUCUCAAAUUCAAAUUCAUUUUCUUUGUUAUUGUUACACACACAUGCUCACACACAUAUCCAUAGAUAAAUAAAUUGCUACAUAUGUUUUGUGUUACUUAUAUGCCUAUAAUUUCGGAACAAACCAACUUGUACUGGAUAACCAAUUAGGAAGCUCCUCUCUGGGGAAAACUCUUUCUCUUCUCAGCAUUUCUUAUUUUCCUGGAGUUCUUAAUGAUGGUGGCUUGUGUGUUUUGAUUAUAUUUAUGAUCUUCCCCAUUUCCUCCCAGAAUCAUUCCCAUUCAAUACCCAAACGAUCGUGUGUCCUCAGUCAUCAUUUUAAAAUACACCAAAUACAAUUCCUUCUGCCUGCAUAAUCUCAGCUGUGUGACCAUCCACUGGAGAGUGCUCCACCUAAGAAGAGCCACACCUCUAAAGAAAAGUGACUCUCCUUUCUGAGCAGCUAUCAACCACUCACUGCUCCACAGCUAAAG